rnacentral:tRNA from 1 species
GCCUUGGUGGCGGAAUUGGCAGACGCACUGGCUUCAGGAGCCAGCGAGAGCAAUCUCAUGGGAGUUCGACUCUCCCCCAAGGCA